AUUAUAAGCUGACACAGUCCAAGCAAAAUGCUUGUGAGUUUUAUGGAGUUAUGGGGAUAAGCUUGGUUGAAAUAAAAAUAAACUGUCCCAGCAGGCAGGACACAGCGCAGAGAUGCUAUAGGACAUGCUUUGUAUCUUUAUGUACAAGGAUCAUGCUUCCACAUCCAUAGCAUCUGCUGCUAUUUCUGAAAGCAGAUGAGGAAAACAAGUCUUGAGAGGUUAAGGAUCACACAGUGUCAGAGGCAAUAUUCAAAUGAUCUGAUAGAAGCCGGCCUUUGAGCAGAUACAUUAUUCUGACUGUGAUUAACAGAAUGGAAAGUGUGACUACACGCCAAGAGGGAAAAAGCCUGUUUUGAUCGUCAUUAUCACACCAUUACUCUGAUUUAGUGUUCCUCAAAUAAUAGAAGAAAUGAAGACAAUUAAAAGAGAGUGGAAUGCCAUUAUUGGAAAAACAAACAAUAGGGAUUUAGGCAGAUUUGUCAAAACCAGCAGGAAGUUUCCAGAGGAGAAUCUUAAGUCUUCACUGUCUAUGAAACAAUUCUGACUGCCAGGAACUGAACCCUGUUGGCUACACUUAGCCUCCAUGUGGAUUAGGUUCAAUCUCCUUUAAAAGAGUGGGCAGUGAGCACCCAAAAAGACAGCAUAUAUUCAGUCUGCCAGAUUUAAAAGUAAGCUUGUCAUUCAUUCACACAAGGACAGAGAGAACAACCUUAGACUUAUUUCUUUAUAGAAAUACUGUGUCUUUCAAAAGAGAAAGCCAUGCCAGAAUAUGGCUCGCCAAACAAUGGGAUGAGUUGGAUUUGUCUGGGGUAUUUUUUGGUCUGGACUUGGGAUAUCUCUGAGAUGAGAACCCCUUUGGUAAAAUAACUGCACCAUUGCCAAAUGCUAUUAGUUCUACCAUUUAAAGUUUAAGAGAAUUGCCUACAGGCACUCAUAUGUUAAGAGAUGUUGCCAGAGUCACAUAGCCAGUAACAGAAUAAGAGCAUCAUAAUCCUGCUCUACUUCUUACAGGUCAAAGCACAUCUAUUGCAUUCUAUUCCGUUCUGGCCACCACACUUUGGAAAAUUCCUUGAAAAGUGGGGCAGCUUUCAAAGGAAGUCGAUCAAAAUGAUGAAGGACCUUGAGAUCAAGCUUUAUAGGGAUCAGUUGAAAGAAUUAGGAAUGUUUAUCCUGGAGAAUGGUAGCUGAGUGGUGCAAUGGUUAGAACAUCAAUGUGGGAGUCAAGAAGACCUAAAUUUAAAUCUAGCCUCAGAAACUUACUAAUUAUGUGACUCUGGGCAAGUUGCUUAAUUGUGUUUGCCUCAGUUUUCUCAUCUGUAAAAUGACCUGGAGAAGGAAAUGUCAGACCAUUUCAUUACCAUUGCCAAGAAAGCCCCAAAUGGGGUCACAAAAAGUUGGACAUACCUGAAGCAACAGAACAACAUCCCAGAGAAGGGCCCAGCUAAGUGAUGCCAUGCAUAGAGCACCAGGCUUAAAGUCAAGAAGAUUUGAGCUUAAAUCUAGCCAUCUUUGCAAAGAAAACCCAAUGGACAAAUCUGUGUCCACGAAGAGUCAGAUAUGAUUGAACAGCUAAACAAAAAUAAGAAUUCUGGGGAAGAGAAGACCAGGGAUGGGGAAAAGGGAAAAUGGUAGCUGACUUGAAAUAUUUGAGGAACUAUCAAAAGGAUAAGGAAUUAGAGUACAUUCAACAAGAAUUUAGUUC